rnacentral:rRNA from 1 species
AUGCGCGAAAGCGUGAACAUGCGACGCCCGCGUUGGAGGAUGAAGGCCUUCGGGUUGUAAACUCCUGUAGUCAGGGAGCAAUCGUCGGUGGGUUAAUACCCCAUCGGCCUGAUCGUACCUGAACAGUAAGCCACGGCUAACUCUGUGCCAGCAGCCGCGGUAAUACAGAGGUGGCAAGCGUUGUUCGGAUUUACUGGGCGUAAAGGGUGCGUAGGCGGUUGCGUGUGUCGGAUGUGAAAUCUCACUGUUCAUCGGUGAAACUGCAUUCGAAACUACGUGACUCGAGUACUGGAGAGGAGAGCGGACUCCUUGGUGUAGCGGUGAAAUGCGUUGAAGAUCCAGAAGAACACCGGUGGUGAAGACGGCUCUCUUGGACAGAGACUGACGCUGAGGGACGAAAGCUAGGGGAGCAAACAGGAUUAGAUACCGUGGUAGUCCUAGCCGUAUACGUUGUGCACUUGGUGUGGGAGGAGUUUACCCAUUCCGUGCGGUAGCUAACGUGUUAAGUGCACCGCAUGGGGAGUACGCCCGCAAGGCUAAAACUCAAAGAAAUUGACGGGGGCCCGCACAANCGGUGGAGCAUGUGGCUUAAUUCGAUGCAACGCGAAGAACCUUACCUGGGCUUGACAUGGAGAGACUUCGGUCUAUACCGGUGAAAGUCGGUGAUACUCACACAGGUGCUGCAUGNCUGUCGUCAGCUCGUCCCGUGAGGUGUUGGGUUAAGUCCCGCAACGAGCGCAACCUUUGUGUAUAGUGCCACUCCGGUUUACCGGAAGCACUCUAUUCAGACUGCCUGUGAUAAGCAGGAGGAAGGUGGGGAUGACGUCAAGUCCGUAUGGCCAUUAUGUCCAGGGCUGCACAC